GACGAACGCUGGCGGCGUGCUUAACACAUGCAAGUCGAACGGAAAGACCCUGCUUUUGUGGGGUGCUCGAGUGGCGAACGGGUGAGUAACACGUGAGUAACCUGCCCUUGACUUUGGGAUAACUUCAGGAAACUGGGGCUAAUACCGGAUAGGAGCUCCUGCUGCAUGGUGGGGGUUGGAAAGUUUCGGCGGUUGGGGAUGGACUCGCGGCUUAUCAGCUUGUUGGUGGGGUAGUGGCUUACCAAGGCUUUGACGGGUAGCCGGCCUGAGAGGGUGACCGGCCACAUUGGGACUGAGAUACGGCCCAGACUCCUACGGGAGGCAGCAGUGGGGAAUAUUGCACAAUGGGCGGAAGCCUGAUGCAGCAACGCCGCGUGCGGGAUGACGGCCUUCGGGGUGUAAACCGCUUUCGCCUGUGACGAAGCGUGAGUGACGGUAAUGGGUAAAGAAGCACCGGCUAACUACGUG
rnacentral:rRNA from 1 species